GACGAACGCUGGCGGCGUGCUUAACACAUGCAAGUCGAACGGAAAGGCCCUUCGGGGUACUCGAGUGGCGAACGGGUGAGUAACACGUGGGUGAUCUGCCCUGCACUUUGGGAUAAGCCUGGGGAACUGGGUCUAAUACCGAAUAGGACCACGCGCUUCAUGGUGUGUGGUGGAAAGCUUUUGCGGUGUGGGAUGGGCCCGCGGCCUAUCAGCUUGUUGGUGGGGUAAUGGCCUACCAAGGCGACGACGGGUAGCCGGCCUGAGAGGGUGACCGGCCACACUGGGACUGAGAUACGGCCCAGACUCCUACGGGAGGCAGCAGUGGGGAAUAUUGCACAAUGGGCGCAAGCCUGAUGCAGCGACGCCGCGUGAGGGAUGACGGCCUUCGGGUUGUAAACCUCUUUCAAUAGGGACGAAGCGCAAGUGACGGUACCUAUAGAAGAAGCACCGGCCAACUACGUG
rnacentral:rRNA from 1 species